rnacentral:rRNA from 1 species
UACGAAGGGGGCUAGCGUUGUUCGGAAUCACUGGGCGUAAAGCGCACGUAGGCGGAUCCUUAAGUCAGGGGUGAAAUCCCGAGGCUCAACCUCGGAACUGCCUUUGAUACUGGGGAUCUUGAGUCCGGGAGAGGAGAGUGGAAUUCCCAGUGUAGAGGUGAAAUUCGUAGAUAUUGGGAAGAACACCGGUGGCGAAGGCGGCUCUCUGGACCGAGACUGACGCUGAGGCGCGAAAGCGUGGGGAGCAAACAGG